rnacentral:rRNA from 1 species
UUUCUAACCUAAACCCUAUGGAACUUUUUCUCUACCACCUGCUUCCCUGGAGAGCUCGUCUCUCCAUUGGACAUCAACGCAAUCCUUAUUUUGUGGAUGAAAAACUGUUAUACUAUCAAAUUUAAUAUUCAAAACCUUUUUGAACGGAUCUCUUGGUUCUCCCAUCGAUGAAAAACGCUACGAAUUGCGAUAUGUAUUGUGAAUUGCCAAUUUUCGUGAAUCAUCAAAUCUUUGAACCCACAUUGCGCCCUCUGGUAUUCCAGGGGGCAUGCCUGGUUGAGCGUCAUUUCUCUCUCAUACCUUUGGGUUUGGCAGUGAGUGAUACUCGUCUCGGGUUAACUUGAAAGUGGCUAGCCGUUGCCAUCUGCGUGAGCAGGGCUGCGUGUCAAGUCUAUGGACUCCACUCUUGCACAUCUACGUCUUAGGUUUGCGCCAAUUCGUGGUAAGCUUGGGUCAUACAGACUCAUAGGUGUUAUAAAGACCCGCUGGUGUUAGUCUCCUUGAGGCAUACGGCUUUAACCAAAACUCUCAAAGUUUGACCUCAAAUCAGGAAGGGGUACCCGCUGAACUUACGCAUAUCACUAAGCGGAGGAAAAGAAACCAACCGGGAUUGCCUUACUAACGGCGAGUGAAGCAGCAAAAGCUCAAAUUUGAAAUCUGGCGUCUUCGACGUCCGAGUUGUAAUUUGAAGAAGGCGACUAUGUAGCUGGUCCUUGUCUAUGUUCCUUGGAACAGGACGUCAUAGAGGGUGAGAAUCCCGUGUGGCGAGGAUCCCAGUUAUUUGUAAAGUGCUUUCGACGAGUCGAGUUGUUUGGGAAUGCACCUCUAAGUGGGUGGCAAUUCCAUCUAAAGCUAAAUAUUGGCGAGAGGACGGAUAGCGACCAGUACAGUGAUGGAAAGAUGAAAAGCACUUGGAAAAGAAGAGGAAA